AUAGCGUUGGCCGAGCGGUCUAAGGCGUUGGGUUAAGGCUCCAGUCUCUUGGUUUGGUUCGAAUCCCACCGCUGUCA